CCUACGGGCUGCUGCAGUGGGGAAUAUUGGACAAUGGGCGAAAGCCUGAUCCAGCCAUGCCGCGUGUGUGAAGAAGGCCUUCGGGUUGUAAAGCACUUUCAGUGGGGAAGAAAGCCUUGGGGCUAAUACCCUCGAGGAAGGACAUCACCCACAGAAGAAGCACCGGCUAACUCCGUGCCAGCAGCCGCGGUAAUACGGAGGGUGCGAGCGUUAAUCGGAAUUACUGGGCGUAAAGCGCGCGUAGGCGGUCUGAUAAGCCGGUUGUGAAAGCCCCGGGCUCAACCUGGGAACGGCAUCCGGAACUGUCAGGCUAGAGUGCAGGAGAGGAAGGUAGAAUUCCCGGUGUAGCGGUGAAAUGCGUAGAGAUCGGGAGGAAUACCAGUGGCGAAGGCGGCCUUCUGGACUGACACUGACGCUGAGGUGCGAAAGCGUGGGUAGCAAACAGGAUUAGAUACCCCAGUAGUC
rnacentral:rRNA from 1 species